rnacentral:rRNA from 1 species
CCUACGGGGGGCAGCAGUGGGGGAUAUUGCACAAUGGGGGGAACCCUGAUGCAGCGACGCCGCGUGGGUGAAGGAGCGUUUCGGCGCGUAAAGCCCUAUCGGCAGGGAAGAAGAAGGACGGUACCUGACUAAGAAGCCCCGGCUAACUACGUGCCAGCAGCCGCGGUAAUACGUAGGGGGCAAGCGUUAUCCGGAUUUACUGGGUGUAAAGGGGGCGCAGACGGCAGCGCAAGCCAGGAGUGAAAGCCCGGGGCCCAACCCCGGGACUGCUCUUGGAACUGCGUGGCUGGAGUGCAGGAGGGGCAGGCGGAAUUCCUGGUGUAGCGGUGAAAUGCUUAGAGAUCAUACAGAACACCGAUUGCGAAGGCAGCUUACCAAGCUACUUCUGACGUUGAGGCACGAAAGCGUGGGGAGCAAACAGGAUUAGAUACCCCUGUAGUC